rnacentral:rRNA from 1 species
AGCUUGCUCUUGAUGACGAGUGGCGCACGGGUGAGUAACGCGUAUGCAAUCUACCUAUAACUGAGGAAUAGCCCAGAGAAAUUUGGAUUAAUACUUCAUAAUAUUAUUAUUUGGCAUCAUUUAAUAAUUAAAACUCCGGUGGUUAUAGAUGAGCAUGCGUUCUAUUAGCUAGUUGGUGAGGUAAGAGCUCACCAAGGCUACGAUAGAUAGGGGGCCUGAAAGGGUGAUCCCCCACACUGGUACUGAGACACGGACCAGACUCCUACGGGAGGCAGCAGUGAGGAAUAUUGCACAAUGGAGGAAACUCUGAUGCAGCCAUGCCGCGUGCAGGAUGAAGGCCCUAUGGGUUGUAAACUGCUUUUUUACAAGAAGAAACCUUGGUACGUGUACCAACUUGACGGUAUUGUAAGAAUAAGCACCGGCUAACUCCGUGCCAGCAGCCGCGGUAAUACGGAGGGUGCAAGCGUUAUCCGGAUUUAUUA